AAAUUGAAGAGUUUGAUCAUGGCUCAGAUUGAACGCUGGCGGCAGGCCUAACACAUGCAAGUCGAGCGGAAACGAGUUAUCAGAACCUUCGGGGAACGAUAACGGCGUCGAGCGGCGGACGGGUGAGUAAUGCCUAGGAAAUUGCCCUGAUGUGGGGGAUAACCAUUGGAAACGAUGGCUAAUACCGCAU
rnacentral:rRNA from 1 species